GCCUGCCACUGCAGGGGACACAGGUUCGUGUCCCGGUCUGGGAAGAUCCCACAUGCCGCGGAGCGGCUGGGCCCCCAUGGCCACUGAGCCUGCACAUCCGGAGCCUGUGCUCCGCAACAGGAGAGGCCACAACAGUGAGAGGCCCGCGUACUGCAAUAAAUAAAUAAAUAAA